ensembl:lincRNA
CCCUGACCAAUCUCUAGCGGAUCACUUGUUCAUCCUCGGAGCAGGUACUGAUGAGCGAGGCUGUGCUCUAACCCUCCUCCUCCUCCUGGAGAACAAGCCCGUGCCCUUUCUCUCCUAGUCUCUCCCAGACGCAGCUGGGUCUGAGCGCCUCCGCCUCGGCCGCUCGCGCCAGAUGUUCUGGAAUGUGCCCCUGUCCUACACGCAGAGGACAGCGCCCCCCGAAGCAAGCGUCUCCGCAUACGCCCGCCUUCACCUGUCCAGCUGCGCCACGCGGGCUGUCUGCCCUUCGAGGACGGAAGGCUCAGCAAACGGAGUGGUGUGUUGGGUUUUGCUGUUGUCAAUGGAACUACAAUUUGAAGAAAUUAUUUCAUGUUUCUUUGUACCAAAGAAAGUUGCGCAUACACAGAGAAUUCCUACUCCUUUUGAAGUCAGUAAGAUACAAGGCACAGGAUGGACGAGGACAUCAUCUCCCCACAGUUUUCAUGCCUCACCCAGGCUCAAACCUUUUGAAGAAUGCACAAGGAAGCCCUUUUGAAAUACUUCUGCUGAGGUCUUUCCCCAUAUUGAAAUUCACAUGUUCUGUCUCCUAGAUACAGGAGUGGAAGAACUAGGGCCCGAGAUGGAACUAACUGAACACAGCAGAGAAUUGAAGCAAACAGUGGCUAGAAGGAAACCACCACCACCAUCACCACCACCACCACCAAAGAUGCCCAGUAGGCCCAGUAGUAGGUAGGCACACAAAGUUUUCAGCAUAAAGCCAUCUCAAGGUCAAGAAAAGGUUAACUGGGUCCAGGGUGUAGUUUAGCAGUAGAGCAUGUGUGCGAGGCCCUGGGUUCAAUUCCCAACACCAAAAUAAACAGAUAAAAAAAUGGUUACUUAUCUGCCUGGUGUGCAGAACACAGGACAGUGGGCAAUGUACUCAAUUAUAUCUUCCUUAUUUAAUUAAAGUUUUGAGGUAUUUCUAUAAUAGAUCCAUGAGUUUCAUGAAGAUUUGUAUCAUAAAAUGUAAAAUACUGUACAUUUUUUGGCACUUGAAUGGUUAAAUCUCUGGCUGCAGGUUUUUUGGUUAUCCAGAAAACUUAAUCAAUUAACCCAUUUGUUUAUCCAAUAUUUAUUGAGUGCCUAUAAUGUAUAUAACACUGAGCUAGGUACUGGAUUUACUUGGAACAUCUAUUUGCCCCCAAAUUCUAGUUAAAAAAGUACCACUCAAAACACAGCUCCAACUUAUGUUAAUCUUUCAAUGAGCCUUCAUGAGUGGUUUACUAUCAUUGUAAGUGAUUUUAAUUUUAGAACCUUCUGGGUUGUACAAUAUAUCCCUCUUCCAAAGGAGACAAGAAAGAUAGAAUUGUGGAGCCAGCAAAUAUAAAGUUGAAAUCACUUGACAAGUCUGACAAUCCUGUUUUUACUUGAAACUUCAAUUGUGGUAAACACUUUUGACUCAUGAUCUCAUUUGUCAGCCUGUACAGUGAAUGUAAUUUACUUAGCUAAUUUCACUAGUAGAUUAUGUUCUUCCAGGGCACAGAGAAAUAGGAAUGAUAAAUAAGCCAUUACUGCUUGCUUUUGUAUCUCAUUUCAUAGCCUCAUAGCUUAGAGAAAAUAUAUCUAAAAGCACAAAUUAAUUGCACCUAAUUCUUAGAAGUAUCUCAAAAUGCUUUCUUUUAUUAGAGAUAUCAAAUAUACUCAAUGAAUAUAGGUAGACAGAUGUUGGUACUAUACAAAUAGAACAACAAACCAACAACAAUAAUAAUGUCGAUAAUAACAAAAGCAGUUACGACUUAUUUAGUGCCCACUGCCUGUCAGGUAUCGUGUUGCGUGGAUUGCUUUGACUGGAUUGCCAUCCAGCAAAUUUUUGAAAUGUUUUCAAGAAGGAAACAGGUUUAAAGAGUGUUUCUUGCUCAAAUUUUUCAUGUUACCAUUUUAGAGAAACAGGUCUUUAAACCUGAGCAACUGUACUCUACUUUUUUGCCAUUUAAAAUGUUAUUCUUUCAAACUCAGUAAAGAAACAGAAUUCCAUCUAUAUACAGAAUUUGUACUUGUUAGCCUUAAAUUUUACUAGCACAGGAAGUAAGGGGAUUAAAUAAAUCCCUGUGUAAAAUAGAAGGAUACAGUAUGUGACUUGUUCCCCAAGUGGAUUUUGGAAUCACCCCCGACCUCCCACAUCUGGGGAAUACAUUUUGUAAGUACUUCUUCAAAGUCUUUAUAGGUUUUUCCUUGGCAUAUAUAUUCACAAAAAUUUGUGUGUGGUGUUCCCAUUCUUCCCUGCCACUCAAACUUAGUGGUGUGCUCUAGCAUUGAAUGUCAUAGAUCAAAGUAACUAUUGAAGUUGUCAAAGGCAACUCAAUGGCACACAGAUAUCACUUUAUUUGUCCUCUUAAUCUUUUAAAGACAGUUAUUAGCAUGAUUAGAUUUUACUUAAGUGAGAAGAAUAAAGACUCAGAAAGUGAGUUAAAGUAUCUGGGGGAGGUCUAUGAAUAAAUCCAGGUGUUUUCUCCCUCUCUCUCUCUCUCUCUCUCUCUCUGCAGGGUCUCACUAUGUAGUUGAGGCUGACCUGGAACGCACUAUGUAGCCCAGGCUGGUCUUGAAUUCACAGUGAUCCUCCUGCCUCAGCCUCCCAAGUGCUGGGAUUACAGGUGUGCGCCACCACACCCAGCUUUUCUCUCUUUUUAAAUUCAAAAUGUUUCACCUAAAUAGUGACAACUAUAACCAUAUAGCCCUGUCUGGUUCAAAAUAUGCAUUCAUUGAAAGAUCAUUUGUAAUUCAAAUCCAUUCAGUGCUGCUUCACUUAUGUAAUUUGUUAGCUAAAUUCAAGUAGUGUCCCCUGCACCUAUUUUAAUGAUAUAGCACAUCAAUAAUAUUUUCACUCAUUUAAAGCCAUGUUUACCCACAGAAUCUUAGCAACAAAAAAAUUCUGAAAGACAAUCUUCACACAUUCAAAUAGCCAGAAUUUUCCAAAUUAAGGUCAUGGAAUUUGAAAAAUCACACACUUAAAACAAAGUUGGUAGAAAUAGUUUGUGUAGAAAAUAUACUCAAGGUCACAGUACGUCCAUUAAAUCCUUCCUCCAACAUGCAAGACACACCAGGCUGAUUUCUAGUUGGGUUCUGCCUGGCAUUUUCUUAAGGGAAUGGUGGAAACUUUAUUACAAAGGACGCAAAGUUAUCAGUGACAGGAAAAUCAGGGGUCCACAGAGGUAAGAGAGGAGAGGUGUCAAAAUCAAAGAGGACCAGUAAGCUGUUUGUGGGAAUCUCAAUUGACUUAUGCAAUUUUUAGAGCCCCUUCCCAGUAAAUAAACAACAAGGGUGAACUGUAGAGGAAAAAGGAAAAGAUACAGCCAAAAAGGUGAGACACAGCCAUCUUGAUGGGGGGGGGCGUCUAACUACACAAUGAGGUCAUCCCAUCUCCCGGAAGUGACACGCAAUCACCUGCUUUGCACUAGCUCCGCCCCUUCCCUCAGAGGUCCCGCCCCUCCGCCAGCAGCCGGGAGGGUGUUAGGGGGCGUUUCUCCAGAAGGAAAGCUGUGAGCUGCGACGCUGAGGAAGGGGACCCCAAAACGCCUGGCACUGCCCCCUCCAGGCAUCACUUUGGACCGCCUCACUCGGCCCAGCGGGAUUCUGAAACGCCGAGGGGUCAACCUGAUGGGUUUCGGGGUCAACGGAAGAGGGGAAGGGGAGCCCUGGCGGGGAGAACCCCCCGGCCCCCCGCCCAGCAGCUGAGGCACAGGAGGGCGGCCAUCUUGGCCGGGAGGGUAGGGCCGGGGAGCUGCGGGCGCCGU